rnacentral:tRNA from 1 species
GCCGAAGUGGCGGAAUUGGUAGACGCGCACGUUUCAGGGGCGUGUGAGCGAAAGUUCGUGUGGGUUCGAGUCCCACCUUCGGCACCA